rnacentral:lncRNA from 10 species
GAAAAACAAAAUAAAUAAGAGAAUUUCUCUGCUCUUGUGUUCUCUAGUGCUCUUUUAGGGGAGGGGGCUUCCAACUGGGCAGGGUGCAUUGGGUGCCGCUCUCCACCUGCCUCUCAUCUCAGCCUGUAGUGACAGGCGUUUGCUGGGAUUACAGGUGUGAGCCACUGUGCCUGGCCAAAAGGGUCAAUUUUAUACUACGUAAUUUUCACCUAAAUUAAAAAAAAAUUAAUGUAAAAAAUGUAUGCUCAUUUAUUUACUCAAAGCCCUCCGCACAGUGCCUGGCACAAUAGCAAGUGCUGAAUGAAGGUUGGCUUUUAAGAACAGUAACAGUGACACAACUCACCUCCAGUCUUUGGAAAUCACACUUCUUAUAGAUGGAACAUGAGAGGAGGAACUGGGCAAAGCGCCCCUCGUUUUGGGGUUAGACAAAACCCACGCAUUGGACGAGGUGUGUGGCCAAGGGUGUGCCCGGGUUCUGGGACUGCUUUUGCAGGUCUCUCUGUCUUACGCCAGGAUGAGUUAAAGACCCCUGGUACAGCCCGGUGCUGCCAACUACAAUUUGGCUAAUGCCUUAAUUGCAUCUGCUUCAGCGGCCUUCCUUCUGGCUCGGGGACCAUGUCUAUU